rnacentral:rRNA from 1 species
GACAGAGGUGCCAAGCGUUAGGCGGAAUCACUGGGCUUAAAGCGUGUGUAGGCGGAAUUGUAAGUACCUUGUGAAAUCCCACGGCUCAACCGUGGAACUGCUUGGUAUACUGCUUUUCUUGAGCCACUUAGGGGCUACCGGAACAAAUGGUGGAGCGGUGAAAAUGCGUAGAUAUCAUUUGGAACGCCAAUGGUGAAAACAGGUAGCUGGGAGUGUGCUGACGCUGAGACACGAAAGCCAGGGGAGCGAACGGG